AAAACUUUUGUUUCUUUUUUUUCAACACUUUUGCAAAUUUAGGAAGCAUUAAAUUCAUUCAUUCUUUUUUUGUCAUGUUUUGUUGUAUACAUGCAGCACAAAGAAGACACUGUGGAUUUGGUUGCGUUUUAUUCAGUUGGGAGUCAUCAUAUUUAGCACAGUGGGCAGUUCUGAUUGGCCGAUGCUGAAUCAUCCAUAAUGACGGACUUGCAGAGAGCAAACGAAUCAGAGAUCGUCUGAUGAUUACGUACAGAACGUGCAUGGGUAACAUUGACACACUCGUAUUAUAAUGUCCGUGAUGGAGUGGCAUGAAGGCAGAAUCUGAAGAUGUAGAGAUGAAUUGCCCAUGGCCAUAUCUGUCCAAGUUCAUGCAUCUUAAUGAAACAAUUGGUAAAGCUUACUAGUCAUAUGUAAUCUGUGCAAACCAAAGAUUUGUCUGUCUGCAUUGAAAACUUCAAGCAUAUAAAAGUGAGUAAUAGCCAUUUUAAAUUAAUCAUUCUGCUUUAUUUCUGUGUUAUUUCAAAAUCUAAUUUGUCCUGCCACAGUUUUAUAACAAACCUAUAAGAACACUAAAGUUGUAUUUGUGCCAAUGCUUUAGACAGAAACAGAUAAAGAAAUCCAGAUAUAACUUAUAUACACUGUCAAAAAUAAAGGUACAAAGCUGUCAGUGGGGCAAUACCCUUUUAAAAAGGUCCUAAUAUGUACCAUUUAGGUACAAACAUGUAUCUUUGAACUGCCAAUAUGUACAUUUGAAGUACUAAUAUGCACUUUUUGGGCACAAAGGUGUACCUUUUUAAAAGGGUACUGUCCCAGGGACAACUUUGUACCUUUAUUUCUG